rnacentral:rRNA from 1 species
AGGAAAAGAAACUAACAAGGAUUCCCCUAGUAACGGCGAGUGAAGCGGGAAGAGCUCAAAUUUGAAAUCUGGUAGCCUUCGGUUGCCCGAGUUGUAAUCUAGAGAAGUGUUUUCCGUGCCGGCCCAUGUACAAGUCCCUUGGAACAGGGCGUCAUAGAGGGUGAGAAUCCCGUCCUUGACAUGGACCCCCGGUGCUUUGUGAUACACUUUCAACGAGUCGAGUUGUUUGGGAAUGCAGCUCAAAAUGGGUGGUGAAUUCCAUCUAAAGCUAAAUAUUGGCGAGAGACCGAUAGCGAACAAGUACCGUGAGGGAAAGAUGAAAAGCACUUUGGAAAGAGAGUUAAACAGUACGUGAAAUUGUUGAAAGGGAAACGAUUGAAGUCAGUCAUGCUCUUGGGACUUACCUCCCUUGAGUGGGGUCAACAUCAGUUUUGAUCGAUGGAUAAAGGCACGGGGAAGGUAGCACUCUCGGGUGAACUUAU